rnacentral:rRNA from 1 species
CUGAAUCCAUAGGUUAAUGAGGCGAACCGGGGGAACUGAAACAUCUAAGUACCCCGAGGAAAAGAAAUCAACCGAGAUUCCCCCAGUAGCGGCGAGCGAACGGGGAGGAGCCCAGAGCCUGAAUCAGAGUGUGUGUUAGUGGAAGCGUCUGGAAAGGCGCGCGAUACAGGGUGACAGCCCCGUACACAAAAAUGCACAUAUUGUGAGCUCGAUGAGUAGGGCGGGACACGUGGUAUCCUGUCUGAAUAUGGGGGG